CCAAUAGAACCUAACAAUUAUUUAAUUUCCUUUUUAAACUUAGAUUAUUACGUACAUAUGUGGAUUACAAUGUAAUAUUUGUUCAUCUUUAGUUAUCUUCUUUGUUUGCUGAUUGUAUAAUAUGUAUCUAACUGGGUUUCCCUUUUUCUGCAUAUAUAUUAUAUCAAAAUGCAAAUAUAGUCUCAAAUAUGGUACGCAAUAAAAAACAAAAAAUAUUAUCCCCAUAUUUUAAUACCGAGUACAAUGAAAACAUUGUAAAAAGACGAGGAACUGAAUUAAAAAAAACAAUAUGUCUUUCUCCAUGACAAGAAAAUGCGGAGAAUUUGGUACUACACAUAUCCAACAAGUAAAAGAAUCGUACAGUGAAAGAUCAUAUUACGGACUGGCAAAAUAUAUUUGUAGAUAUUGUGGUGCCUCCUUUUGGUUUGAAGAACGGGUUAAACGGGAAUCAACAUCUAGAACAAAUAAUAUAGUAUAUAACCUAUGUUGUAAAGGAGGUAAAAUACGCAUUCCACCUUUUAAACCUCCUCCUUUGAUGCUUGCACAUCUACUUGAUUACAGAGGUGGUGCAACAUCAAAGAAAUUCUUGGAAAAAAUAAGACAAUAUAAUAGUUUAUUCGCAUUUACAUCUAUGGGAGCAAAUAUUGACAAAAAUAUAAAUAAUGGAGUAGGACCAUAUGUAUUCCGUAUAAACGGACAAGUACACCAUCGAAUUGGAUCAUUGUUACCAAAAGAAAACGACAUACCAAGAUAUGCAGCAUUAUAUGUAUAUGAUACACAAAAUGAAAUAUCGAAUCGAAUACGAGCUCUAACACAAGAAGAUCCUGAUGAGGCUGAUAUUAAUCCAAUAAUUGUCCAUGGUUUAAAGGAAAUGCUAGAUACAUGUAACCCAUUAGUAAAAAAAUUCCGUCUAGCACGUGAUCUAAUAAAUGAAUACAAAGGAAUAGAUAUAAGCAUACGGAUAAUAGGAUCAGACAAAAAAGGACCAGUACAAUAUGAAAUGCCAAAUCAAGAUGGCCUUGCCAUACUGGUUGUAGGUGACCAAACAUUAGAUAAUUUCAAGCGCGACAUCAUAGUAAGUAGUAAAUCAAAGGGUCUACAACGAAUUUCAAAUCUUCAUCCAGCCUAUAUGCCUCUACAAUAUCCAUUGUUAUUUCCAUACGGGGAAAGAGGUUACCAAUUGGGUAUCUAUUAUUAUGACACAAGUAAUUCCGCAAAGAAAAAACGAACUCGUGUAACAAUGCAAGACUUCUUUCGAUAUCAUGUGCAUUAUAAAAAGGGACAACCAAAUCCAUAUCUGUGUUAUGGAAGGUUAUCUAAACAAGUUGUUGUGGAUGCUCGUAUUUCCAUAGAUGAUGAUAGACUUCAAUAUAUAGCUAAAAACCAAGAUAAAUUAAGGAUAGAGUACUUACAAGGCAUAGUCGAUGCUGUAGAAAAAGGACUUCAAAAGGGUGAAGACGUCGGAAAAAGAACACUAUUACCUUCAAGUCACACUGGAUGCCGACGCUAUAUGGUGCAAAAUUAUCAUGAUGGAAUAGCAAUAUGCUGUGUUUAUGGUGCUCCAGAUUUUUUUGUUACAUUUACAUGUAACCCAAGGUGGGCUGAAAUACUUGAAUCAUUAGAAUUUGGCCAACAACCAAAUGAUCGGUCUGAUAUAAUAGUUAGAGUUUUUCAUAUGAAGCUUGAAGAGUUACUAAGCGAUAUUAAAUCAGGAAAAAUAUUUGGGAAAAUUUGUGCUAUACUAUACUCAAUAGAAUUUCAAAAAAGAGGUCUACCCCAUGUACAUAUUCUUGUAUGGAUAUGUAAAAAUGGUAAAGAAAUAACAUAUGAAGUAAUAGACCAAUACAUAUCAGCAGAGAUACCAGAUCCUGAACAAGAUCCACUCGGAUACAUCCUCGUAGCAGAACAUAUGUUGCAUGGUCCAUGUGGUGAUACAAACCCAAAUUGCCCAUGUAUGAAAAACGGCACAUGCUCAAAGUUUUAUCCAAAAGAAUUCCAAAAUGAAACGACAACCGAUGAAAAUGGAUUUGCAAUAUAUAAACGACGUCAUACAGGAAUCUAUAUUAACAAGGGUAAACACGAUUUAGAUAACAGAUGGGUUGUACCAUACAAUAUAUACUUGCUGAAAAAAUAUCAAGCUCACAUCAACAUAGAAUAUUGCAAUAAAACGAGAGUUCUAAAAUAUUUAUGCAAAUAUGUUAAUAAAGGUCCUGACAAAGCAAAAAUAAUUUUCGAACAGAUAAAAAUGGGACAAGAUGUAGCUACAAAUGAGGAAAAUAAAAAAAAGGAUGAAAUAAAAGAAUAUUUAGAAUGUAGAUAUAUAUGUGACCAAGACGCUCUUUGGAGAAUCUAUGGAUAUGACAUAUAUGGUCAUAACCCUGCUGUUGAACGACUUCCAGUACAUCUACCUGUGAUGAAUAACAUUACAUUUGACAAAAAUACUCAACUAAAAAAAAUUAUAGAGGAUCCAAGACAAAGAAAAACAAUGUUAACAGAGUGGUUCAUAGCUAACCAAAUUUAUCCUGAGGGACAUGAACUUACAUAUUGUGACUUCCCAACAAAGUGGACCUGGAACACAAAAGAUCGUAAAUGGAUCAAAAGAACACACGGAACUAAAAUAGGAAGAUUAUAUUAUGUAAAUCCAAUGGAAGGUGAAAGAUUUUAUUUGCGUAUGCUUCUUAUGAUUGUGAAAGGAGCCAGAAAUUAUGAUGAAAUUAGAAUAUACAAAGGAAUUGCAUAUAAUACAUUUAAAGAAACAUGCGGAGCACGUGGGCUUCUAAAUGAUGACCAUGAAUGGUAUAAGACUUUUCAAGAAGCUGCAACAUGGGCUACAUCAAACCAAUUACGUCAAUUAUUUGUUACAAUGUUACUUUUCUGUGGAAUGGAAAAAGAGGAAUUUUUUUUGAGGAUAAUUGGAGAUUGAUGGCCAAUGAUAUCGAAUACCAAUCACAACAACAAUACCCAGGGAUCAAUAUACUUAUGAAAGACAUUGAACUAAAAGAUUUGGUUCUACAACAUAUAGAGUACCUACUAUCAAGAAAUGGGAUUAAAAUAGACAGGUUCAACUUACCCGCCAUGUCAAAUAUAUAUAGACCCCAAUAUGUAAAUCGAUUAAUAGAAGAGGAGUUAAACUAUGAUAUUAAAUCAUUAACUGAAGAUGCCACGAGAUUAUACGCCAACUUGAACAAGAAACAAAAACAUGCAUUCCAUAUUAUUGUACAACAAGUUAUAGAUAACUUACAUGGUUUUUAUUUUGUUUCUGGAUAUGGAGGGACCGGAAAAACAUUUUUAUGGAACGCAAUAGUCUCUUAUUUAAGAUCGAGGAAAAAAUAGUACUAGCAGUAGCAUCAUCGGGAGUAGCCUCAUUGUUAUUACCAAAUGGGAGAACAGCACACUCAAGAUUUAAAAUACCUGUUGACAUAGAUGAUACAUGUACAUGUGAUAUCAAACGUGGCACUAUGCUUGCAGAAUUACUAAUUGCUACAUCACUUAUAAUUUGGGAUGAAGCUAUGAUGACAGAUAAAAAAUGCUUAGAAGCUCUAGACAAUACACUUCGUGAUAUUAUGCAACCCAUAAAGAAGAAAGCAAAAUCGAUACCAUUUGGUGGUAAAGUAAUAGUACUAGGCGGAGACAUAAGACAAAUUUUACCAGUAGUUGAAAAUAGUUCUCGAAUACAAAUUAUCGAAGCAUCUAUAAUCAAAUCACAAUUGUGGAAAUGUGUACAUGUUUUACAUCUCACAGAAAAUAUGAGAUUAAAACAACAUACACAAGAUACCGCUUUAAUAAAUGAAUUAUCAACAUUUAAUCAAUGGAUCCUAGAUCUUGGUAAUGGACAAUUACCAACAAAAGCUAGAGAGACAGAGAAUGAACCUACAUGGAUUAAAAUACCAGAAGAGUUUUUGAUCAUAACCUCUGAACCAAGGAUCCCAACUUUGGUUAAUACUAUAUAUCCAGAGUUUAUUAAAAACUAUAACAACCAUGAAUAUAUCAAAGAACGAGCUAUUCUUUCACCAACAAAUGAAACAGUUGAUGAAGUUAAUGAUUACAUGGUUUCACUAUUACCAAGUGUUGAACAUGAAUACUUAAGCGCUGACAGUAUUUCCCGCUCUUUUGACAUAGUAAAUGACGCAAAUAUAUUAUACCCUAUUGAAUAUUUGAAUUCACUUAAUACAAAUAAUUUUCCACAACAUAGAAUAGUACUGAAAAAUGGCGUCCCAAUUAUGUUACUGCGAAAUCUAGACCAAAGUAUCGGUUUAUGCAAUGGAACGAGGCUCAUAGUUUCAAAACUAGGAGAUAACGUCAUAGAGGCUACCAUUAUAACGGGUUCUAAUAUAAACAACAAAGUAUGCAUCCCUAGAAUAAACCUCACCACAAGGGGGCCUAAAUGGCCAUUCUUGCUAAAUCGACGUCAAUUUCCAAUAAAAGUUUGCUAUGCAAUGACUAUAAAUAAAAGUCAAGGACAAACAUUGAAAAAUGUAGGUGUAUACUUGAAAAAACCAGUAUUUACACAUGGCCAAUUAUAUGUAGCUGUAUCACGAGUAACAUCAAGGCAUGGACUAAAAAUACUAAUUGAAAACGAAGAUGGCACAUGUGGUAAUGAAACGAGAAAUACAGUAUACCACGAAGUUUUCAAAUACAUCUAACAUACAGGUAUCCAAUUGGUUAUUCUUGGCCAAUCUUUUUCCAGAUGCCCUACAACCUAUUGUCAGAUAUAAACCCUUCGAGCAUACACUGGACUAUCCAAGUCAAAGUAUCACGUAUGUGGGAGUUUCAUGGUAACACUGACGAAGGACCUAUUAAGCAUCUCGAUUUGAUCCUUCUUGAUGAAAAGAACAAUGCUAUGUAUGCGGAGAUACCACCUGAUGCUAUCUCCAUAUUAAAACCAAAGCUCAAUGAAGGAAUGGUGGCGGUAAUAAAAAAGUUCUUGGUUGAAAGGGCGAAAACCCGUUUCAAAGCAGUUGAUGCUCCCU